CCCGCUGAACUUAAGCAUAUCAAUAAGCGGAGGAAAAGAAACUAACAAGGAUUCCCCUAGUAACUGCGAGUGAAGCGGGAAAAGCUCAAAUUUAAAAUCUGGUGGCCUUCAGCCAUCCGAGUUGUAAUUUAGAGAAGCGUCUUCCGCGCUGGACCGUGCACAAGUCUCCUGGAAUGGAGCGUCGUAGAGGGUGAGAAUCCCGUCUUUGGCACGGACGCACCAGGGCUUCUGUGAUGCGCUCUCGAAGAGUCGAGUUGUUUGGGAAUGCAGCUCAAAAUGGGUGGUGAACUCCAUCUAAAGCUAAAUAUUGGCGAGAGACCGGUAGCGAACAAGUACCGUGAGGGAAAGAUGAAAAGCACUUUGGAAAGAGAGUGAAACAGUACGUGAAAUUGUUGAAAGGGAAACGCUUGAAGUCAGUCGCGUCGCCCGAGACUCAGCCUCGCCUUGGCUUGGCGUACUUCUCGGCCCGACGGGUCAGCAUCGAUUUCGCCUCUCGGAUAAUGGCGAGGGAAAAGUGACACCUUUACGGUGUGUUAUAGUCUCUCGUCGCAUGCGAGGGUCGGGAUUGAGGAACUCAGCACGCGCCCUCGGGCGUCGGGGCUUUUGCCCACGAUACGUGCUUAGGAUGUUGGCGUAAUGGCUUUAAACGACCCGUCUUGAAACACGG
rnacentral:rRNA from 1 species